UAGGUAUAAUAUAAUGUAAUGUAAAGUAAUAUAGGUAUAAUGUAAUGUAAUGUAAAGUAAUAUAGGUAUAAUGUAAUGUAAAGUAAUAUAGGUAUAAUGUAAUGUAAAGUAAUAUAAUGUAAAGUAAUAUAGGUAUAAUAUAAUGUAAUGUAAAGUAAUAUAGGUAUAAUGUAAUGUAAAGUAAUAUAGGUAUAAUAUAAUGUAAUGUGAAGUAAUAUAGGUAUAAUAUAAUGUUAUGUAAUGUAAAGUAAUAUAGGUAUAAUGUAAUGUAAAGUAAUAUAGGUAUAAUGUAAUGUAAAGUAAUGUAAUAUAGGUAUAAUGUAAUGUAAAGUAAUAUAGGUAUAAUGUAAUGUAAAGUAAUAUAAUGUAAAGUAAUAUAGGUAUAAUAUAAUGUAAUGUAAAGUAAUAUAGGUAUAAUGUAAUGUAAUGUA